ensembl:lncRNA
CUUCACUUUUCUCUGGUGUUAAAUAGUCCAAGGAAACAAUCAGCAGACUAAUUUAUAAUAACAAUAACCAUCUGCUGAGGCUUAAGUGUGAUUCAGAAUUAUUUAACUUAACUGCGUAUUGUAAAAAUACUUUAAGAUCCAGCCAACUGGGAACAGGAGUCAGAAGGGAACAUGCUAUUGAAACCACACUCGGAUUUCCAUGUUUGGCCCCAGAGUCAAGUUCGAAGGUUGACAUCCAUUGUGUGUCCAGUACACAGAUGGGUCUGGGAUGUUGUCGGCACACUUGUGCACAAAGACUGGCGGCACGGGGAAAUUGCCAGCCAAGCAUAAUCAGAAGUUAAACAAUACUUCACCUUCUACCAGUUCAAAACCUUUCUUAAAUAUGUGUGUCUUGUUUAGAGAGAACGGUCAACACCAGAACCUGACCAAUGCAUCCUGGGUUGAUGUUUGCUCACUUAUUGCAGCCGGUCUGGCCACGUGUCGAUGUUGGUGCAUGUGAGUCCCUUGUGGCUGGCUAAUGGCCGCUCUGCACUGCGCUCAUACGGUGGUUGCCGCUGAUAGCGCUGACCUGACACGCAGUGUUGUCAUGGAACCCUCGCGGCCCCCCUCUGGUUCCCCCUCUGGUUCCCCCUCUGGUUCCCCCUCAGGUUAACACUUUGCUCUUGUCAGCAUUGCUGCCGUAGUUUGCACUGUUUUUGCUGUAACUGUAGUGCCGUUAGCUGCCGGCUCAGCCAUCGCCAUGUUGACAUCUGUGUUUUAAAUUAUAUAUUAUUAUGAAAAAAUAACAUUAAAAUGUAUCGUUGAAGCUAUAAUGACACAGAAUCCAAUAAUGCAUUUGAUGUUAUUAGAGAGCAAUGCUUCCUGGUUUAUAAUAUCCAAUAGUGCUCUCUUGUAGCUCACAUGCUGUAUUUUAAGCUUCUUGCUGGAUAUUCAUCCAUAGACUGGCAUUAAUUAAAAAUAUAGGGAAAUAGUUGGUCAGAUUAUUACAAUUAUUUAAACAUGUUCGCAGCAUUUAUGUGCAUAGUCUUGAUUGACAUGUUGGGAAAUAGGCUUUUACGUCCGUAAAUGAAGCUCCCGCCUGCUUCCGCAUAGCAUAAUGGUAACUUCCUGAAGUCUCUGCUUGUUGCCUGGCAACAGUGAUAGGUCUGACUCAUACAAGUUAUUGCGCUCGGCAAAAAAGUGAAGCAUAUACUGAUCUAUAAAGCCUCAGCUUGUCAUUUUUAACUUCAGUUUGUGUAGUGAUUAGUGAGCUUCAGAGGCGCUGCUGGAAGGAUUGUUAUCGGUGCACUCGGGCUGCUCAAAGUGUCAAUCAUCUGUGUCAUCAGUCAACAAGCAGCUGAGCUGAACUACCUUUUUUCAGUGAAAUUACUUUACGUCAAAAUAAACAAUGAACACUGAGAAAUGCAGGACGACAGCAGAGCAGACUAUACACGUUUGUAAGUCAUGGUCAUAUGAGCUGAAACAGAAGAUGGACAGCUCUCAGGUGUAUUACUCUUUCUACAGGAAGCAACACUUGGUACAGAGUGUACACCUUAGGUGGACGUGUGUUUCGAAUGCUAUCCACACAUCUCACACUCUUCUUAUAGAUUAAGCAAAUAUGUCGAAAUAGUCUCAUGUAAAUAAUAAUAAAUGAUAUUAUUCCCUUCAUUGUGGAAUCUAAAGAUUAUUCAAAAUGAUCGCGUUCAGCUGAAAUAAUUGAGAUCAGGCAUCUUUUGUUGAAGAAAGGUGUUUAGACAAAAUGUCAACAAUCAGCAGCCAUGUUGAAAGUGAAGCACAUGUGUGAUUCCCAUUCAACAGAGCUGCAGUUUUGAUGUAAAUGUAGAUUUGACCUGUAAUGACCCUGUGCUGACUCACCGUGUCAGUCAGGGCAGCAGGCCCACGUACCUCCCAAUAUGCUCCAGUUGUUGGGAUGUAGAGAAGUAACAGAGUAUGUUCUGCUUGUUGUUCCUUUACCUGCAUGCAAAUCCAAAAAGACAUGCAAAUAUAUGAAUCUUUUAGUAAUAUUACGCAAUGUUUCAUAGAUUAAAACCCCAACGUGUGACGAGUAAUGUUCAGUUACAUGAAUCUAAGAUUAAAUAGUUGUUUGAUAGGAAUACGUUUUAAUAGUUUCCAUGAGUCCUGUAGACAAUUUGAGUAUAUGUAUAUAGAUGGUUGCAGUAUAAUAAUGAAUAAUAUUGGUAUUUGAUUUUAAACCUUUUUAAAUGGACCCAUAGUUCAGUGAAGUUCUAGCUCAUUUGAAAAAAAAGACAUUUGAAAAAGGUCCAGUAGGUGGCGAUAUUUCCUUCAAAUUGAACACUGGGAUCUGCAGUAUGAGCUACAAUCCCCAUGGCUCUCUGUCACUGAAGUAUUAGUAAUGGUUAAAGGUUGGGUCCAAGUGUUGUCACAAUACAAACAUAUUUCCUAACAUCUAUUUGUGGGCAAAUGGACAAAACAAGGUGAGUUCCAUAUGUUCAACUGACUGACUGAAUAUUUGAUAGAAUUGUAGCAAAUGUGUCUGGAUUUGGCCUUAUGGACAUUGGUAACAUAACUUUGUCAACAGAAGUCACAUGUGCAGAGUGUUUCACUGGAGUGCUGGACGUUGACCUGCAGCUGUAUUUAACAUAGAGAAUUUAACAUACAUCAUUGUACAUCACUGCAUUAAAACCUUUGUGUCAUUCUAUUGCAAUUGAAUUAGGUGUAAUUGUAACAAUCAACAACAACACUAAUUAUGAUAAUGACAAAAUAGCAGUGUAUUAUGAAUUACACAGACAUUUAGUCAGACAUGCUUCAGAGAUUACACACAAACACAAGUCCAUCCAGAGUAGGACAAACUGAAAACUGUUCUCAUGGCUAUAGCGUUAGCCACUCAUCAGGGAUAUUGGUCAGCACACUUUCAACAAUUCGUUCUAGGAAGGAACAGUUACCCAGAUAGAUUCAGGUCCAGAUAUUUGAAUGUGCACUCCACCAAGUGGACUGAAUCAUGUGGCAUCAUGACAUAAAGCAGUGGUGUGUCAGUUGAAGAACAAUCAAUCAAAUCCGGGGGAAUAACGAAUAGCUAAUCAGUGCCACAGUCGGGACUAACCUCAUUGUCAAGCUUGUCGCCAUGUCUUCUCAAUAUCGCCUCUACUGCAUUUAAAAACCCCACAAAAGCUGUAUGUUGGCAUAGCGACGCAUCACUGUCGACUUAGUGAUUGAUGUUGACUGAGGGAAGACGCAGUAUGUAGCUCUCUAGUGAUUGGUUAGGAGAAAUGUAAUUCCCCUCCUCCUGAGAUGUCCUCACAGACCAUCACAACCCACUGUCCCCUGGACCUUUGUUCAGAAGUAAACGUACAGAUGUAGCCAUUUCUUAUUUUAAGUACCCCAAAAUUAUAAAGGAACAAUAAAUAAAAUCUCAUCAGAAUUAUUAAGUGAUGCAGAUGUCAUAACUUCAUCUUCCCCGAAACGUCUUAUGGACGUACAUACCCUGUAAUAGAAUCGAUACCGAAUGGGUAAAUAAUAACUAGCUACAGGAUAAGUUCUUUGUAAAGGCCCUGACACACAGUGCUGUAUGGCAGAAACGUAUGCUGGCGCAUAUGAAAAUUAGCAUAUACAACGCUUAUGAAUGUAUACAGAGCCUAUUGAUAGCGUAUCACAUACUUAAACAAAAUGUAUUCCUUCGGUGUAUGGCGGAAACGUAUGCCGGUGUUUACAGAAUAUUGUGAAUUUUUUGACAGGGCCUUUAGAUCCUGAAUUUUUACCCCCUCAUUCCAAAACAUCUUGUUCCCCAGAACCUGUAUACAUGUACCGAUAGGUACUAGUACAUUGUUAGUACAAAAGAUUACACUGUAACUAUGAAGUAAUUAUGCUGUAUGUUGCUGACUGUAAUUUAAAGCGCUACCAAACCGAUAUUUAGACUCACAAUACAUACAAUAUAAACAGAAGCAAAGUAUAUAAAAAUGUACAGAAAUUUAAGUUGGAUAACCAUUGUUUAGUAUUUUAGGUCAGACUACGUGAGGUUGAAUGCUGAUGUGAAGAGAUGUGUUUUGAGGUUACUUUUAUAUGAGUCAACCUCUCAAAUGUGGGGAGAAGAGGGGCUUGCUAGGAGAAGACCCUGCCACCUACGACUUGUUUUGCACUAACCGGCUCAUGCAUCAGCUGAACAUGACAGUCAAGAGAACAUGCUUUUCCACAUGAGUCAAGAAAAGAGUCAGUGGUCAUAUCGGUGACAGAGGUUUGGAGGUGAGUGAGCUACAUGGCAACAUUUCCGAGCGUUUUACCACCAUAAAACCUUCCUGGUUACAAAGCAUUACAUCCCUAACCAGAAGGAUUUAUUCAAGUGGCCAUAUCGCAAAG